GAUGAAGAACGUAGUGAAAUGCGAUAAGUAAUGUGAAUUGCAGAAUUCAGUGAAUCAUCGAAUCUUUGAACGCACAUUGCGCCCGCCAGUAUUCUGGCGGGCAUGCCUGUUCGAGCGUCAUUUCAACCCUCAGGCCCCCAGUGCCUGGCGUUGGGGAUCGGCGCGGCGCCCUCCGGGGCGCUGCCGGCCCCGAAAUUCAGUGGCGGUCUCGCUGUAGCCCUCCUCCGCGUAGUAGCACAACCUCGCGGCCUGGAGCUCGGCGGUGGCCAUGCCGUAAAACACCCCACUUCUGAAAGUUGAACUCGGAUCAGGUAGGAAUACCCGCUGAACUUAAGCAUAUCAAUAAGCGGAGGA
rnacentral:misc_RNA from 1 species